CCACUUUAUCUAACCUGCAACCCCUCUCGGACAUCUUUCAUUGAGUCUACCACGGAUGAUGCCUCUUUCUGCAGCCCCCACUUUGUCCUUCAGAAGAGACCUUUCUGGCUUUUCAGUUCUGAUCCAGUCGCUGAAACACUGACACUUUCUUUUCUGGGUGUCACAUUUUAGGUUCUUUUUGCUCUUGAAAUGUCAACCCCCCUCUUCAUUUUCAAUGUGGUUUCUGUAUGAAAAUCUGAGCAUAUAUUUUAUUAGAUACAUUCCAAAGACUUUUGUUUUCUUCAGUAGUUUGUGCUGACUGACCCUGUCCUUUAAGCUUGGAGUUAAUCUGUGAGACCCUGCAAACGGUCUCCAACCUAGCGAUAGGUUUGAAUUCAGAGUUUCCCCUUCCUGACCAAGGUUUGGAAGAGCCCAUGCUAUUUUACUCAUUACUGAUAUACCAACACCCACAGUUCAUGGAAUAUGGUGUGGCAUGCACUUGGUCCAGAACAUUCUGGUUAUUUGAGUCCUUUGGAAUCUUGCUGCCCUGGCUGUUUUCUUUGUCAAUGAAUACACCUCAAUGUUCAUCAUUUCUCCUUCCAUUAUGGUUUGUCCCUCAACUCAGACAGGGUAUGACCCUUCGAGCCAGCAGUGGGAGCUGGGUGGAGAUGAGAACCAUUGAUCCCAGUCCAUCAUACAGGUGGGAUGACUGAAUGCACAAGGGUAAGACCUCGAUCCAAACACUCCACGUCAACACACUUUGUACGUUUGACUAUAGUGAGUGGAGUCUGUCUUCACCCAGAAAUUAGGCUGCUGUUCAUUCCUUUUCUUCAUUUGAUUUUAAUCAGAAAUUCCACUGCAACCUAUAUGUAUAUCUUUGCAGGUUAGAAAUCAAACUGUUCUAAAUCGUGUGGUUGGAAUUGAAGUGGGGAAUAGAGCAUUUGAUAAUCUGACAGACCCUGUGAUAAUUGUAUUUCACAAAUCAUCACCGGUAAAGGCCAUUCCAAAAUGUGUCUUCUGGGAGUUACAACAAAAUGGGAACACAGCUGAGGGUCACUGGAACGAUUCUGGCUGCACAACACAAAACACAGUCAAUGCAGUCAUCUGUCGAUGCAAUCACCUGACUUUCUUUGCGGUCUUGCUG